GACGAACGCUGGCGGCGCGCCUAACACAUGCAAGUCGAACGAGCGAGAGAGAGCUUGCUUUCUCGAGCGAGUGGCGAACGGGUGAGUAACGCGUGAGGAACCUGCCUCAAAGAGGGGGACAACAGUUGGAAACGACUGCUAAUACCGCAUAAGCCCACAGGUCGGCAUCGACCAGAGGGAAAAGGAGCAAUCCGCUUUGAGAUGGCCUCGCGUCCGAUAGCUAGUUGGUGAGGUAACGGCCCACCAAGGCGACGAUCGGUAGCCGGACUGAGAGGUUGAACGGCCACAUUGGGACUGAGACACGGCCCAGACUCCUACGGGAGGCAGCAGUGGGGAAUAUUGCACAAUGGGGGAAACCCUGAUGCAGCGACGCCGCGUGGAGGAAGAAGGUCUUCGGAUUGUAAACUCCUGUUGUUGAGGAAGAUAAUGACGGUACUCAACAAGGAAGUGACGGCUAACUACGUGCCAGCAGCCGCGGUAAAACGUAGGUCACAAGCGUUGUCCGGAAUUACUGGGUGUAAAGGGAGCGCAGGCGGGAAGACAAGUUGGAAGUGAAAUCUAUGGGCUCAACCCAUAAACUGCUUUCAAAACUGUUUUUCUUGAGUAGUGCAGAGGUAGGCGGAAUUCCCGGUGUAGCGGUGGAAUGCGUAGAUAUCGGGAGGAACACCAGUGGCGAAGGCGGCCUACUGGGCACCAACUGACGCUGAGGCUCGAAAGUGUGGGUAGCAAACAGG
rnacentral:rRNA from 1 species